rnacentral:rRNA from 1 species
CGCUGGCGGCGUGCCUAAUACAUGCAAGUCGAGCGGAAUGAUGAAGAAGCUUGCUUCUUCUGAUUUUAGCGGCGGACGGGUGAGUAACACGUGGGCAACCUACCUUGUAGAUUGGGAUAACUCCGGGAAACCGGGGCUAAUACCGAAUAAUCCAUUUUGCUUCAUGGCGAGAUGUUGAAAGACGGUUUCGGCUGUCACUACAAGAUGGGCCCGCGGCGCAUUAGCUAGUUGGUAGGGUAAUGGCCUACCAAGGCGACGAUGCGUAGCCGACCUGAGAGGGUGAUCGGCCACACUGGGACUGAGACACGGCCCAGACUCCUACGGGAGGCAGCAGUAGGGAAUCUUCCACAACGGACGAAAGUCUGAUGGAGCAACGCCGCGUGAGUGAAGAAGGUUUUCGGAUCGUAAAACUCUGUUGUAAGGGAAGAACACGUACGAGAGUAACUGCUCGUACCUUGACGGUACCUUAUUAGAAAGCCACGGCUAACUACGUG